rnacentral:tRNA from 1 species
AGCUAGCAUGGUAUAGUGGUUUGAGCACUGGACUAUAACUCUGGAGACCAGGCUUCAAAUCCCUGCUUGGCCA